CUGCAACCCGCCUGCGUGAAGUUGGAAUCGCUAGUAAUCGCGGAUCAGCAUGCCGCGGUGAAUACGUUCCCGGGCCUUGUACACACCGCCCGUCACACCAUGAGAGUCGGGAACACCCGAAGUCCGUAGCCUAACCGCAAGGGGGGCGCGGCCGAAGGUGGGUUCGAUAAUUGGGGUGAAGUCGUAACAAGGUAAC
rnacentral:rRNA from 1 species